UACGGAGGGGGCAAGCGUUGCUCGGAAUCACUGGGCGUAAAGGGCGCGUAGGCGGGGAGGUAAGUCGGGUGUGAAAUCCCUCGGCCCAACCGAGGAACUGCGCCCGAGACUGCUUCUCUUGAGUCCCGGAGAGGAAGAUGGAAUUCCCGGUGUAGCGGUGAAAUGUGUAGAGAUCGGGAGGAACACCGGUGGCGAAGGCGGUCUUCUGGACGGUGACUGACGCUGAGACGCGAAAGCGUGGGGAGCAAACGGG
rnacentral:rRNA from 1 species